ensembl:lncRNA
GACAUCUUAGCUCCAAUCCAAUCAACUUUUAUUCCUUUGGAAGCGUACAGAGUUGGCAGGCCUUUUGAGCCAGUUGUACAGUUAUACCACUGACCUUCCAAUUACAGGCAGGGGCUGAUGGUCCACUCUACUACAGCAAUUCAGUCAGACUACAUCAGUCAUUCAUUUCAUUUCACUCAUCAGAUAGUUUUGUACUGUCAGAAUAAAUAGUCUGGUUAACAAUAACAAAGACAACUUCAGAAAGGUACAAAACAGCUAUAGAGCACUGAAUAUACUGUAUGUUUACAAUUGUAAGCAUAGAAGACUUCACUUAAUAUAAGUUACUGUAGUUUUGUUAUGUCCCGAAGCCCAGUUUACAGUAAAUAUGUAGUGUAGUGUGACCUUUGAUUCUAUUCGAAGGCAUGUCAUGAUGUAAUGACAGAAGAGUAAGGUGCCUAGUACUUGGUUUGGUCUGUGGUACACUGUGUCUGUGUGGGGGGUGGGGGCGGGCAAGGACGAAGGAUGAGUACCCCGCUGGCCCCAUAUAAGAACACAAACACAUGGGUGCAUGACAUCCCACCCGGCGUACAGACACAGCCCAUGUGACCGGCUGGCUCAGAGACAGCUGUGACUGUCUAACUGUGGCCCAGGUCAGAUCCUGGCCCGGAUCACAUGCUGCUUAACCCACGUCCAUGUCAGACCGCUAAUCAGUGACCAAUGUAAACGGACCUCUCAAAGCUAUCUUGGACGAGGCACCGUACCCCGUCUUGUGGAUUGAAAAGAGAUAGAGAGAGUGUGUGUGUGUUUCUGUGUAUGUGUGUGUGUGUGUGUGUGUGUGUGUGUUGGAGGGAAAGCGCUUCAGUGGCAGUGGACACUGACAGAAGUGGUCAUUCCUUGACAUUCCUGCUGGGUUAUGGUGGGGACAUGUAUUACGGUUGGGGCAGGUAUCCUGCUGAGUUAUGGUGGGGACCUGUAUUACGGUUGGGGCAGGUAUCCUGCUGGGUUAUGGUGGGGAUCUGUAUUACGGUUGGGGCAGGUAUCCUGCUGGGUUAUGGUGGGGACCUGUAUUACGGUUGGGGCAGGUAUCCUGCUGAGUUAUGGUGGGGAUCUGUAUUACGGUUGGGGCAGGUAUCCUGCUGGGUUAUGGUGGGGACCUGUAUUACGGUUGGGGCAGGUAUCCUGCUGGGUUAUGGUGGGGACCUGCAUUACGGUUGGGGCAGGUAUCCUGCUGGGUUAUGGUGGGGACCUGCAUUACGGUUGGGGCAGGUAUCCUGCUGGGUUAUGGUGGGGACCUGCAUUACAGUUGGGGCAGGUAUCCUGCUGGGUUAUGGUGGGGACCUGUAUUACGGUUGGGGCAGGUAUCCUGUUGCAGCAGCCCACCCUACUUCUGCCCUUUCCAGAGCACCUCCUCCCAGCAAACCUGUUGCCUAACCAGAGUCCCCCAGACUGGACUGAACGUGCACUUCUUGUACUGUCCCGCCUGUUCUGUAUGGACAUGCAGAUAUGGUACUGUAGCCACACACUGGGGCUGUUCGACAGUACGUAUCAGACGACAGCAAUUUAUCAUUGCAUUAAGACAUCUAAGCGCAGCUUACAUAAAUUCCUGAGUGUCCCAUUUGAGGGAAAUAGCCUUAUUCACCCGAACCCGCCAUCAUGUCUCUUUGCCUGGUGUAGACUACAGACAGCACCAUAGACAGUACAACGUUCAGCUAAGUGGAGUAACAUCAUUGCUUUGAUCCAGUAGUAAUGACAUGAAUGCUGUCCUUUUAAGAAUGUAGUGCAUUAUUUUGGGGUCACCUUGGACUCCAGUCUAUCGGUGUAAUCUGGUUUGUCUGAUACUGGCCCUCUACCUCCUCCACCAUCUCUCCAGCUGACAUAUCUAUUGGUCCUUUGACAGCCCCUCAGACCCACUGUAAUCUAGUCACAGGCUUCUCCUUCAGUCAGCUGUUGUUGCUGGGAUGAAUGGCGACUCGCCUUUACAAAGUGUAUAGGAGUUAAGUGUGUCUCAAUGUCAAAGUGCAGCUGGAAAACUGGAUAGAAGGGGGGAUGAGUGUUGAUUCAUGUGGUCUAAAUAACAUGCAGCUUUAAGAGGCUGGUGCUGACAUUGUUGCAUCGAGAAUGAUGGAUGGUCAGUAGUAUUCUUAGGCACUGGAUAAAAUCAAAGCAACUGUUCAUCAUAAUCAAACAAAUUCUCAAAAUAGGUGUUAUAUUAUUGCUGUAGAAUUGUUAUAUAAUUCAGUAUGUACCAUAAGGCUUUUGGUGCAGUCAGUGUUUGCUGAGAGAGACAGUGAGUAUAUUUAUAGAAGGUUGGAAAGCAGGGCCUAUCUACUUGUCAGUGCUUUUAAAAUUGUGCAUCUUUUUAAAUUGUUGCUGUAUUUAUUUUUUAUUGGAGUUAGAUGGUACCGUAUGGAUGGUGUAUUUUUAUUUCCCUAUGUUUGUUUUUUGUGUUUUAAAUUAGGUUUUGUUUGUGAUGCCUGUUUUGGCCAGUACACUCCUGAAAUAGAUUUGUAAUCUUUCCUGGAUAAAGGUUAAAUAAAAAUAAAUCCCAGCUUCAUUGUUUACCUGGCCCCACUAUCAAUGAUCCCAUUCAGUGUUUACCUGGCCCCUCUAUCAAUGAUCCCAUUCAGGGUUUUAC